GAGAAUGAGAGGAGGAGGACCUCCAAUGGAGAACAUGGGUCCUCAGGGCCGCCCCAUGCAGGGCCCUCCCUUCCCCGAGCAGGCACAGUCAGGAGACUUUCCCAUGGGGCCCGGGCGACCCUUCCCUGGAGGACCUGCAGGGAUGAGGUCCACAUGCUGACCCUGCCUUUGGUCCAGAGCACAGAGCCACACCCACAGGAGGUAAUGCCGCAUCAACCACCUCCCCUCUGCCGGUGGUCCUGCACAAGGUCAGAGAGGCCGCCAAACCAGCAGAUCUGAAUGUCCAAGCAGGAUGGGGGGAACUCUCCCAGUGUUAACCCACUAAAGUCCCCUCCUUUGAGGCAAGUACAGUCCCCGAUGAUGGGCUCUCCUUCUGGAAAUCGUAAAUCCCCUCAAACACCGUCCCAGCUGGCCGGUAUGCUCACGCGUCCCACCGGCCCCCAACGCCCCUCCAGCCCCUCCGACCUCUGCACCCAUGAAGUCUCCCCACUCCAUGAUGGGAUCGGCAGGCGCCUCUUCCCGUUCUAUGAGGUCCCCCUCGCUACCGAACCCGUCUCCGGGCUGGGCUUCCUCACCAAAGCCACCCAUGCAGAGUCCAGGAGUCCCCCCUCAGGGUGGCAAGCCCUCCUCUCAGUAUCACCUCACCAAACAUGAUGGGGAGUAUGGAGCCAGGAGGGAACGGCCCCCCCUCAGCUCCUCCGUCAUCAGGAGCUCCAUCUGGCUCCAUGCCCUCUCAGGCAACGUCCGUCUGGCGUCCGUACACCAUACCCCCCGAACCAACACUAUCCCAGAAUCCCCUCUCCAUCAUGAUGUCACGCAUGUCCAAGUUCGCAAUGCCCCAGCUCCCUCACUUUACCACGACGCCAUCAAGACUGUUGCCAGCUCUGAUGAUGACCCUCGCCUCCAGCUCGCUCCCCGAACCUGCCUUCAGUGAACAAUAUGGUAAGAAUUUUUUGGGGAAAAAAAACCUGUGUUUUAGUUUCAUCUCUGUGAGCAGUUUGCCUCGUUUUCACAUGUACCUAUGUUAUUCAGUUUCAUAAUAAUUAUGG
rnacentral:lncRNA from 1 species